rnacentral:rRNA from 1 species
AUACGGAGGGUGCGAGCGUUAAUCGGAAUAACUGGGCGUAAAGGGCACGCAGGCGGCUAUUUAAGUGAGGUGUGAAAUCCCCGGGCUUAACCUGGGAAUUGCAUUUCAGACUGGGUAGCUAGAGUACUUUAGGGAGGGGUAGAAUUCCACGUGUAGCGGUGAAAUGCGUAGAGAUGUGGAGGAAUACCGAAGGCGAAGGCAGCCCCUUGGGAAUGUACUGACGCUCAUGUGCGAAAGCGUGGGGAGCAAACAGGAUUAGAUACCCUGGUAGUCCACGCUGUAAACGCUGUCGAUUUGGGGAUUGGGCCUUGAGCUUGGUGCCCGAAGCUAACGUGAUAAAUCGACCGCCUGGGGAGUACGGCCGCAAGGUUAAAACUCAAAUGAAUUGACGGGGGCCCGCACAAGCGGUGGAGCAUGUGGUUUAAUUCGAUGCAACGCGAAGAACCUUACCUACUCUUGACAUCCAUGGAAUCUUGUAGAGAUACGGGAGUGCCUUCGGGA